rnacentral:rRNA from 1 species
CGCAUCUGUGCAUGCAGCAUAUCAAUAAGCGGAGGAAAAGAAACUAACAAGGAUUCCCCUAGUAACGGCGAGUGAAGCGGGAAGAGCUCAAAUUUGAAAUCUUAAAGGGUUUCCCUUUACGAAUUGUAGUUUAAAGAAGUGUUUUCUGUUGAGGUUUUGGUAAAAGUUCUUUGGAAUAGGACAUCAUAGAGGGUGAGAAUCCCGUAUUUGACCUUUACUUUCAACUUUGUGAUACACUUUCAAAGAGUCGGAUUGUUUGGGAAUGCAGUCCAAAAUGGGUGGUAAAUUUCAUCUAAAGCUAAAUAUUGGCGAGAGACCGAUAGCGAACAAGUACCGUGAGGGAAAGAUAAAAAGAACUUUGAAAAGAGAGUUAAACAGUACGUGAAAUUGUCAAAAGGGAAGCGUUUGACACCAGUGUUGUUUUUCUGAAAAUCAAUUAAAGAACUGUUUAUGCUAAGCUGUUUAGACUUUAUCAGCUAUCUGUUUAGUUUUGAGCUUUUCUUUAAUGCACUUUUCAGUUCAACAAGUCAACAUCAAUUUCUUUUGCUGUAAAAAAGCUUGAGGAAGGUGGCUUGAGAUUCGUCUUAAGUGUUUAUAGCCUCUUGCCUAUGCAGUCGGAGAGAUUGAGGUCUGCAGCGUAGGUCCUUCGGGGCUAAAUGCAUUUGUGCUAAGUUAUAGCAUUUUAUAGGACAACUUGUUGACUAUGAUUUGUCUUGUAGCUUACUCGCUUAUGUUAUUUUACCUACGCUUAGGAUGUUGAAUCUGUGCGAGACUAC